UACGUAGGGCGCAAGCGUUAUCCGGAAUUAUUGGGCGUAAAGAGCUCGUAGGCGGUUUGUCGCGUCGGGAGUGAAAACUCAGGGCUUAACCCUGAGCCUGCUUCCGAUACGGGCAGACUAGAGGUAUGCAGGGGAGAAUGGAAUUCCUGGUGUAGCGGUGGAAUGCGCAGAUAUCAGGAGGAACACCGGUGGCGAAGGCGGGUCUCUGGGCAGUAACUGACGCUGAGGAGCGAAAGCGUGGGGAGCGAACAGG
rnacentral:rRNA from 1 species